rnacentral:lncRNA from 1 species
CAGACUCAUAGUUGUUCCGCUUUCAAAAAGUCAUCAUUGAUUCUCGAAGAAAAGGAGAAAAUGAUGAAAUCUAAAAGCACAGGAGGUGGUCCAGAGAUUCAAAAGCCCAGGAGACCACAGAGUCAGCUGACCCACUCUACGCUGCCAAGGACAGACUCACUCCUCAGCCCUCUUCUCUGGGCUCAUCUGAAUCAGCUGGACUAAGUUAUUUCAGAUGGAACUGAGCAUGGCCAUUAGAGUUACAGUCGGGCUGAAGAAUGCAAACACAUCACUUUCAGGAUAGCAUUCCUAAGGAGGACCAGCAAGAAGAGCACGGAAGCAGCAGCCUUUGCCAGAAAUGGGUCAGCAGUGCUCUAAAGGAGAAAAUGGCAACUGGCAGUUGGCCUAAGUGGCCCACAGACAGAGUAGAGAUUGAUGGCCUACACUUGGGGAAGCAGAGAUCAACUGACUCAGGAAAGUACAUAAACUACCACCACCUUGGAGGAUUCCCAGGGAAGGAGGCUGAGGCCCAGCUUGUUUGAUAAAUGGAGUCUUGAGUUGCCAUAAAUAAUAGAAAAAAAUGAUUUUUCUUAUUUAUGUUUACAGGCUGGGGAAACCUGGACUUAUGUCAGGCUCUGUGUGUGUGCUGGGAGUUGCUGUGUUGACUGGCGUUUGCAAUUAGCUGGUGCUUAUUGACCAUCCUGAAUGGGAUACGUCCUCUCCAGUAGUAGCGACCAAUGGUCUUAUGAAUCGACAAAGCACAACAAUGUUUCCAACGUGCAUUGGCUGCUGCCCCCAUCCUUGCUUCAUGGCAUUCCUAGAAAUGGCCCUAUAGCAGAAAAAUGUUGAGGAAUGAAUCAUCUUCUUGUCUCCUGCCAGAGGAUAGCCAACAUUUACCUUCCCUUUCUACCCAAUUGUGUUCCUGAAUCUACAAGGCAGAAUGUUGACAGGUUGACUUGAGACCCAUGAAUCAACAGGGAAAUUACUGAAUGAACGAAUCUAUAAAGUGAAAUAGAGGGUUUUGUCAGCACGAUCCGGGCAGCAGAUGGAUGGAAUCCGAGAAGGGAUAGCGCUAAGGC